UACGAAGGGGGCUAGCGUUGCUCGGAAUCACUGGGCGUAAAGCGCACGUAGGCGGAUUGCUAAGUCAGGGGUGAAAUCCUGGAGCUCAACUCCAGAACUGCCUUUGAUACUGGCGAUCUUGAGUCCGGGAGAGGUGAGUGGAACUGCGAGUGUAGAGGUGAAAUUCGUAGAUAUUCGCAAGAACACCAGUGGCGAAGGCGGCUCACUGGCCCGGUUCUGACACUGAGGAGCGAAAGCGUGGGGAGCGAUCCGG
rnacentral:rRNA from 1 species